AGGGGAAUAUUGGACAAUGGGCGCAAGCCUGAUCCAGCCAUGCCGCGUGAUUGAUAAACGUUCUAGGGUUGUAAAGCUCUUUCACCGAUGAAGAUAAUUACGGUAACCGGAGAAGAAGCCCCUGCUAACUUCGUGCCAGCAGCCGAGGUAAUACGAAGGGGGCUAGCGUUGUUCGGAUUUACUGGGCGUAAAGCGCACGUAGCAGGACUUUUAAGUCAGGGGUGAUAUCCCGGGGCGCAACGCCGGAAAUGCAUUUGAUACUGUAAGUCUUGAGUAUGGUAGAGAUGUGUGGAGUUCCGAGUGUAGAGCUGAAAUUCGUAGAUAUUCGGAGGAACACCAGUGUCAAAGGAGGCUCACUGGACAAUUACUAACGCUGAGGUGCGAAAGCGUGGGGAGCAAACAGG
rnacentral:rRNA from 1 species